UUCAUUUACCCUUGUUUGGUAAUGAUUGUUUCUGCUUCUGAUUGGUCAUCAUUUUGUACCCAGUAACCGGUAUCCCGAUGUCCUUUCUUUCCGGUUGAUUUAUCCUUCAUUAACCCAGUAACUGGUUAUGGAUAAUCUUCCAUGUGAGUAUGUUAUCUAUGUUACGACGGUAAUAGAUAAUAUAUCUCAUGCGCUCUUUAGUCGAAGUCUUUUUUCUCCCCAGUUGAGUAAGAUUCAUAUCUCCUUGUGGAAUUGAAUGUCCAUCCUGUAAGUUGAGUUUGC
rnacentral:lncRNA from 1 species